CCGGUUGAUCCUGCCGGACCCGACUGCUAUCGGAUUGAGAUUAAGCCAUGCGAGUUGAACAUUUUUUAACUAUGUGAAAAGUGUAGCAUACGGCUCAGUAACACGUAGUCAACCUACCCUAAAGUCACAGAUAACCCCGGGAAACUGGGAUUAAUAGGUGAUAUGUCAUUUUUUCUGGAAGGGUUUAUGAUUUAAACGAUUGUCAAGCUUGUUUGAUUAAUUGCUUUAGGAUGGGACUGCGACCGAUCAGGUUGUUGGUGGGGUAAUGGCCUACCAAGCCGAUAACCGGUGCGGGCUUUGAGAGAAGGAGCCCGGAGAUGGACACUGAGAAAAGGGUCCAGGCCCUACGGGGCGCAGCAGGCGCGAAAACUUCGCAAUGUGCGAAAGCACGACGAGGUUAGUCCGAGUGUCAUUUGCUGAAUUUGACUUUUCAUAAAUGUAAGUAGUUUAUGGAAUAAGGGGAGGGAAAGUCUGGUGUCAGCCGCCGCGGUAAUACCAGCUCCCCGAGUGGUUGGGACGAUUAUUGGGCCUAAAGCAUCCGUAGCCUGUUCUGUAGGUCUCAUGUUAAAUCCAUUCGCUCAACGAAUGGUCUGCAUGAGAUACCACAUUGCUAGGAGGCGGGAGACGUGAACGGUAUUCCAUGGGUAGGGGUAAAAUCCUCUGAACCAUGGAAGACCACCAGUGGCGAAGGCGGUUCACGAGAACGCGCUCGACGGUGAGGGAUGAAAGCUGGGGUAGCGAACCGGAUUAGAUACCCGGGUAGUCCCAGCUGUAAACGAUGCAAGCUAGGUGAUGGAUUAGCCAUGUGUUAAUCCAGUGCCGCAGGGAAGCCGUUAAGCUUGCCGCCUGGGGAGUACGGUCGCAAGGCUGAAACUUAAAGGAAUUGG
rnacentral:rRNA from 1 species